rnacentral:rRNA from 1 species
GUGGGGAAUCUUGCGCAAUGGGCGAAAGCCUGACGCAGCCAUGCCGCGUGAAUGAUGAAGGUCUUAGGAUUGUAAAAUUCUUUCACCGGGGACGAUAAUGACGGUACCCGGAGAAGAAGCCCCGGCUAACUUCGUGCCAGCAGCCGCGGUAAUACGAAGGGGGCUAGCGUUGCUCGGAAUUACUGGGCGUAAAGGGCGCGUAGGCGGACAGCUUAGUCAGAGGUGAAAGCCCAGGGCUCAACCUUGGAAUUGCCUUUGAUACUGGCUGUCUUGAGUUUGGGAGAGGUGAGUGGAACUCCGGGUGUAGAGGUGAAAUUCGUAGAUAUUCGGAAGAACACCAGUGGCGAAGGCGACUCACUGGCCCAAUACUGACGCUGAGGCGCGAAAGCGUGGGGAGCAAACAGGAUUAGAAACCCGGGUAGUCC